GAAGUGGGUACACCUUCUCUCCCCUUUAUGUCUUCCUGCUGAGGGCCAUGAAGCCUAGGAGAGGAAGGAACCCCAAGUUUAAAAGGAUAUGGAUCCUUGAAAUACUUCUUGGAGGACAGCUGCCUGCCAUUCUGAAAUGUUUGCGCCAGCUUCAUAUAACCAUGAUCCUGCCCUCCGGAAGUCAGAAAAGAAUGAAUAACUUUGAACACAUCACAGCAAUAAAAAUAUAAGAAUAAUGCUGGGGUCAUCACAAACAGAGGCAGAUGGUGGUGGCAUUUCCUUCUUGCCGGGAGCUCAGAUAUUAUCUGGAUAGAUUUCAGCAGGCUUUGUGUCCAUUCCCUCUCAGCGCGGGCAGCUUUCCUGGAUAGAGCCCCAGCCACCCAAACGGCAGACAGAUUUGAUUUAACUGCGAUGACUUGUGUAUCGGGUGACUUUGGAUGGUUUAAAACAAUGGCCUGUGGAAUCUACUUACACAGCACUAUGGGAAUGAGGAUGAAGGGUCAUAUCCAUGGUUAAUCCGAUCAAUUGUCUGCUACACACAGAGAAAGAACCGAGCUUGCCUGCAAACUGGCUCAUUCAGGAUGUGAGCACAAGAUGGAAUUCAACCUUUAAUAUGCUGCAACACCUGCUUGGAAAUAAAGGGGCUCUGUGCUUUUCCCCCCAAGGAGUUGACAGCUGACUUCAUUACAGAGGAAUCUGGCAGAGAUGGCCGUGGCUACUCCUCAGCCUCCGGAGGCACUCACCCAGGAAUGCAGUGCCAACCAGACCUGAGCUUUGGGAUUCUGCCAGAAACCCAUGCUGGGCCAUUUUACCCUAAAUCAUUCCUCUUCCUUGAACUCUAGGAGUUUUUCUACCUUUGGUAGAGCUGCCUCCAGACAAGGGAGAUGAGAAGAGGCUCUGGCCUGCUGACGCUAAGUGGAGAAGCAUUUGCAGGUGUUCUCCAAUGGGAUCUGGAUUUUCAAACUUUCUUUCUCAAGGGUUCUGCAAUGUUGCACCCCAACAGGCACAAAGGCAGGGCUGCCAUGCUCUACAGAGUGGAACUUGAAGAUUCAUCAGAGACCUUGUCCAAGAUUUGGAACAGACCCAGCGUUGUUCCAAGGAACCUAACCCAGCCUGUGAGAGACUCCUACAGGCCGUCUCUGGUGCCACAACCUUCCAUUGGGGCUGGAACACUGGUUAUGCUUAUGAGCUUUCAAAGUAGAAUGUCAACCUCAUCACCCAUUUGCAUGAUUUCCAAAGCAUAUUAAUCUGGCUUCCACUAGUAACACAGAAUAUAACAUAUCUUACUUGCAACAGGAAAUAUUUCCUUUCUACUAUUUGCUAUUCUUCAUCAUUAAAAAAAAUCUGUCUGAAAUCUAAAUACCCAGAAAGAGGGGUGGGCUCACAGGGAACACAACCAUUUGGUGGAUCACUGCUCAACCUGAAGCAACAGAAAUAUGAAGGCCACAGAGCAACUUCAAAACUGCAUUUGAUGCUAAUUUAAAACAAAGUACUACUCAAACUUUCAUAGAUGAAAAUCACAUAAUUUUUAAACAAAUACUUUAAAUAGUCUGAAAUGAGAAAUAAUUGAUGCCAAAGGUCAAAACUGGCAAUCCAAGAGUUGGGUCUGGCCCGAAAGUGUGUCUCAUAUGGCCCACACGGUGGGGGUCAGCUGAGUUUGAAUAAAAAACGGAGUAGGUUGCCAACAUUUAGAAAUUGGCACAUGGCACAUAACCACCCGGAUUGCUGCCUUCUCCUGAGACACUGGGCAAUCUGGCCUCGGCAGGCUGCUUUCCCUCCAGGCAACAGUUGGGGGCAGGUGAUGGGCAUUUGUCAUCCAGGUUGCCAGAGUCCCUGCUGGGCCAGAUUUCUCGCUCAUUGAGUUUGUAAGCCUGGCCCAGGUGCAAGGGUGGUAGGGUUCUGGGUCAUUUUCCCUCUCUCCCCUUCUUCCAAAACUUGCUCUUGGUUAUUAUGCUACUUCAGAGUUAAAAUAAUCAUUAAAUGCCCAGUUGUAAAAGGUAAUGUGGAGGAAGAGAGUCUGAGGCCCAUACUACUUCUCUACUUCUUGGAUGUUAUUUUCACAUUUCUAGCCUUACGCCCAGUGCACUCGCUUGAGAAUGUGAGCGUGGCCCCGUGGUUCUCGAACGUGGCUACACUAGAAUCACCUGGGGCACUUUUGAUGUCCAGCUUGCACUCCAGACCAAUUAAAUCAGACUCUUGGGAAGUGGGAUUCAGGCAACAGAUUUUUAAAGUUCCCAGGUGAUUCCAAUGUAAAAAGGUCCUUGAAAAAAUCAUGGAAAACUUUAUGUUAGAGCAGUUUCUCAAGCUCGUCACUAUUUUCAUUUGGGACCUGAUAAAUCUUAUUUCUGGGGACCAGUCCUAUGGACUGUAGGAUGUUUAGCAGCAUCUCUGGCCUCUACCCAUAGAUGCAGUAGCAUUUCUCCAGAUGAGAACCACGGCAUUCGAUAGUGAAACUAUGGUCAUUUUUUUUUUAAAGAUUUUAUUUUUUUCCUUUUUCUCCCCAAAGACCCCCGGUAGAUAGUUUCUUUGU